UCUUGGUCAUUUAGAGGAAGUAAAAGUCGUAACAAGGUUUCCGUAGGUGAACCUGCGGAAGGAUCAUUACCGAAUUGUCGGCACGAGUUGUUGCUGGUCCUCAGAUGGGGGCAUGUGCACGCUCUGUCUACACAUCCACUCACACCUGUGCACCCUCUGUAGUUCUGUGGCCUGGGCGACUCUGUCCCCUUGCUGUGGUUCUGCGUCUUUACACACACACCGUAACAAAGUCUUGUGGAAUGUGCACCGCGUUUAACGCAAUACAAUACAACUUUCAGCAACGGAUCUCUUGGCUCUCGCAUCGAUGAAGAACGCAGCGAAAUGCGAUAAGUAAUGUGAAUUGCAGAAUUCAGUGAAUCAUCGAAUCUUUGAACGCACCUUGCGCCCUUUGGCUAUUCCGAAGGGCAUGCCUGUUUGAGUAUCAUGAACACCUCAACUCUCAUGGUUUGCCAUGAUGAGCUUGGACUUUGGGGGUCUUGCUGGCCUAUGGUCGGCUCCUCUCAAAUGAAUCAGCUUGCCAGUGUUUGGUGGCAUCGCAGGUGUGAUAACUGUCUACACUUGUGGUUUUCCACCAGAUAACCUUCAGUGAUGAAGGUUCGCUGGAGCUCACAAAUGUCUCUCCUCGGCGAGGACAGCUUUCUGAACAUUUGAUCUCAAAUCAGGUAGGACCACCCGCUGAACUUAAGCAUAUCAAUAAGCGGAGGAA
rnacentral:rRNA from 1 species